rnacentral:lncRNA from 1 species
UUGUGUUAGACCUGAUUCUGAACCGCAGUUGGUCCUUGAGAGACGACGUAGGAGUCACUUCCUAGUCUAUACUGCAUUUCUCAUUUGCAAUCAAAUUUGUAUGGGCCACGACACCCAUCAAAUUUUGGCGCCGUUGCCGGGGACCAACGGUUCGGUUUUAGGUCUUUUGUUGUGUUAGUGUGUUGUUUUGUCUCGUGUUGUGAGUGUGAUGUUCCGUUUUGUGUGUUCGUCAUUGUGUGUUGCAUUUAGGCAGCUUUAGCUACAUAUUUUCAUUGCAUUCUUCUUUCCCCCCUUCUUUCCCCCCUUCUUUCCCAUGUCUACCUAUUUUGGUUCUGUGGAUACUAUUUCUCCUGCUUGUUACUCUGAUUAUGAUUCUCCUGCAGAUUUCUGUGUUAAGAACAAUAUGAUUCCUCCUCCAUCUCAUGACAGUGCUCCUAGGGAGCCGUUUCCACUUGAUGAGGAGGACAUUCGUUGUGUUUUAAACACUGGACUGAUACAUGUGCUGCCUAGGUUUCAUGGUUUUGCAGGUGAAUGCCCACGUAGACAUUUGGAGGAGUUCUACACAUUAUGCUCUUUGAUGAAACCUCCAGAUGUCCCGGAUGAAGAAGUGUUUUUAAGGGCAUUUUCGUAUUCAUUACAAGAAGCAACAAGGGAUUGGCUGUAUUGUCUUCCUCCAGGAUCCAUCACUUCUUGGGAAGAUCUUAAGCAUACGUUCUUGGAUAAAUUCUUCCCACCUCAGUAUGGUCACAGUAACAAUCUUGGAUGGAAUGACCCUAGCUUGGGAUGGUAUGAUGCUCCACAACAAUAUCAGCCAUUUCCGAAUUCUUGUAUGCCUUCCCCACCUGUUUAGGAACCUCAGCAGCUACAGUUUCAUGAGCCUGCCCAUUCUUUAUCAGCUAUUGGUAGGAAAAUGGAAAGCAAACUUGAUUCUCUUGAGAGUUUGGUGACACAGCUGGCAUCCAACCAGAGACCAGCACCUCCAUCUGCAUCUGUUGCACGACUGUGUGCUAUAUGUCCUUCCAGUGACCACUAUACGGAUGCAUGUCCUUCUUUGGACCACCCUGUUACUCAUGAUGAGCCUCAAGCUUAUGCUACCGACAUAUACAACAACAAGCAGCCAUAGCAAAAAAAUCAGAGGAAACAGGAACAACAAGAGGCAUCUGCCCGACCACCUUCCAAAUCUUCUACUUCUUCUGAGCCAACAUUGAAUGAGUUGUGGGGGCAGAUAGCCAGGCAGGCCAUUGAGGAACAAUCUCGUGUUUUAAAGGGACCUCCAAUUCAGACUGUUCAGAUUAUUGAUGAUGUCAGUGUCACCCGCAUAGGGGAUGAGGAGCAGAGUCAUGAGCCUACUAUUGCACCAUCUACUUUCCCACACUCCUAUGUCCCUACUCUUGCACCUGAGGAUGCAGUUGCUCAUUCUGCUGUUACUGGUGAGAUGAAUCAUGAAUCAAUACAGGUUUUCUCUACACUUGAAAUCCCACUUGCUUUGCCUGAGUUGUUUAUGCAUUCAUAUAUUCUUGAUACUGCUGUUGAUUCACAUGUUAGUGUUGAUUUUGACAUUGAAACUGUGAAAACUGAAGAUGUUUCAGACUUAGGAUUAAAUUUUGAUCUUUCACAGUUUUCUGAAAAUUCUCAAUGUAGUUUUGAAGCUGGUUCUUGCUCUAUUUGUGUUGAGAUCAAUUUUGUGAUACAACCAACUUCCAACUUUAUGAUUGGUGAUACUAAUUGUGAAUCUGAUGAAAAUGUUGAGGAACAGGCAGAUGUAAGCAACACUUCUGAGAUAGGUAGACCAUCUUCACCUUCCACUAUUCCACCAAUCUUCAAGGAAGUGGAGGUAAGCAUACCUAAGAUUGACUCUGUUGUUGAUGAUUAUGUUGAUGAUAGGUAUGUUAAUGAUUGUAUUGUUGAUGAGCAUGCUUUUAGUUCUCCCUCUCUGCAUGAUGAGAAAAAACUUUUGAUAUCUUGUCUGAAUGUUUAUUCUCCAUGCACUGAACAUGAAUAUGAUUCCGUUGUUGAUACUGCUACUAAAUUUGAACUUGAUUCAUGUUCUGAGGGUUUAUCUGAGGUUCAACCUAUUACAUUGGGAUUGGGUGUUAUACCUCUGCAUGUUAUUUCUGUAGAACCACAUUGCACUAAACAUGUUGCAGGAGGUACAUAUGAAUUUGACCAACAAACACCCAUGGUGGAAGACAAAGGUGCCGACAGUUUGAAGGUUAAUAGGCACCAGCUGAACCCACUCAUCAACAAUCACUUCUUCUUAGAUCCAGUUGUGGAGGACAUCUCCCUACUUGAUCAAAUCUGGAGACUGAAGCAAUUCCUCUUCGACACUUUCUGGCUGAAUACCGUGGUGGAAGACAUCUCCCUGAAAGUCCAAAAUUGGCAACUGCCACCAUGAUCAGGGGAGUUUUCUUCUUUUCCCUUCUCCUUCCUUUCCCGCUUUUAUUACACUUGUUCAUGAUCUAUUGACUGUUUUGAAUUCUGAUCUUAUGCUUGUGAAACAUUGAGGACACUGUGUAGUUUAAGUGUGAUCUAUUGGGGGAGAUUCUGAUUUUUCUUUUCUUUGUUUAUGUUUUCUGCGUUAAUUUUUUUUUUCUAGGUAGUUUUUGUUUUGUUUUGUGUACAGUUUUACAUGUUUCUCUUGAUAUCUGGACUUUGUUUAGGUUGUAGACGUGUCUUUCAAUUCAUUGAUACUCUGAUAUGUUGAAAUCCUUGCUUUUCUAUGCUUGGAAGAUGAUUAUGAUGUUUUAGAGGUUGAUUUGAUUGUGACAGAAAUACCCUAUGUGAGAUUUGAGCCACUUGAUGUUCUUUCUUGUUUGAUAUGUCUCUUGAUUGCUUGCACAUAUGCCUUGGCUUGACUCUUGUUGAUAAUUCUUGAUUGAUAUGCAUGUUUGAAAGUGAUAAAGGAAGUUUUGUUGUUGGGUCUCUCUAGCCAGAUGAGCCUACCCUGUUUUGAUCCUUUGAUAGUCCCUUUGAGCCUAUGCUUUCCCCAUUUCUUUGUUUUGAAGCGCAUAACUAGCCCUACGUGAAAACCCAUGAUUACCUUAACCUUAGGGAAUUUUGGAGCUUUGGAAUUGUUUUGGGAAUAAGUGUGGUCUCUUGGGAUAUUAAGAUGAAUUGAUUAGUUGGCUCAUUUUCUUGUUUUGUUUUGUAAAUAUGUUGUGUAUCUUGUCUUUUAGAGUUGUGUUCUGGAAAGAGAGAAAAAAAAGAGACAAGAUGAAAAAAAAAAAAACAGAAAAAAUAGAGAAAAAUGAAAAAAAAAAUUGUGAAUAAGGGAGUCAAGAAGAGGAUUGAAUUAGAGGGUUUGGGUGUGAUUUGAUUGUAUUUUCACUUGUUCCCCAUUGCUCCUCUAUUCCUUUUGGUUUGUAGCUUCUUAUCCAUAUGUUAUCCUCCCUUGUCCUUGGCCCCAUUACAUCCGUAAAAGACCUUUUGAUUUGAACAUGCAUACGUUUUAAGUGUUGAUAUUAGAGGCUUGCCAAGACUGUUUGUUGCUUGUUUUCUUGAGUGCAUUGAGUUGACAUUNUUUACCUUAGACACUUGAGAGAAACACUGGUAGUGUGCAUCUGUGAGGUUCUGUUGCUUUUGAUUCACCUCUUGAACUGAUUGAUUAUUUUGCCAUGCUUGGAAUUGCUUGGAUGAUUUCUCUGAGUAUCUGUUUUUUCUGAUUCUAUGUGGAUACUGUCUACUACUUUUCCUUGUCCAGAUUUCUCGAGGACUGUAAUUCUGUUUACUGAGUCUGUGUCAAUUCCCUGAUGUCCAUUGAACUGUUCCCUGUUUUGCAUCUUGAUUUUGCCCAGGAGUGCAAAAGACUAAGUGUGGUCUAUUUUGAUGAGUCGAUAUUUUAUUGAUUUCACUUAGUUUAUUGUGCUAGAAUUAAUCAGGGAAUUGUGCUUAAUUGUCNGGUAUUUUCCCGUUUUUCCUAAUUAUGCUUAAUUUGANCGNAAAUUCUAAUUUUAAUUAAUUUGAAUUUUCUGAGCUAAUUAUUUGCAUUAUAAUUUUCAGGGAAAAUUUUGGAAACACAAUUUGGGACAUUUGGAGGACACCAAAUAAAUUCAAGACACUCAAAUUUAGACAUUUUAAAUUUUAGUUGUAUUGUAAUUUAAUUGUUAAAAUUUUUUAGACAAACUCUUUGCAUCUUGGACCAAUUUUAGAAAAAUGUUGUUGGGCCCAAUUUUAUUAGACACUAGGCACUUGGUAACCCUAGGGUUGGGUGGACCCCACCCUAAAUUUUGGAGUCACACGACCAUUAAAAAAGUCCAGCCGUCACUUAGAAGGAAGGGACCCCGAGAAUUGUAUGAGCUGGGAGCUUUUCCUUUUCUCUGAAACAUGUUCCUAGUAUUGGAUUUUGGUUGAUUUAUUUUUGGCACCCUUUUUCUUUGAAUAUUAGAGGGCUGGAACGUGUUGGAUUACUAGAUGAAUUGGAAGCAUUUUUAAAUUUUAUUUCCUUCCAUUUUAUCAGCGCUGAAUUCAUGAACAUUGUUAGCUUUAAUUUGCAUUCAAUUAGCAGAACGUUUUUUUUUUGUUUUCUUUAAAAGCACGAGGCUGGUUUCAUGGUGCAGCAAGGUCACGCUUUUCAUUUUGAAUUUGCAAACUUUUCAUUAGCCUUUAUUGAAUGAAGCGGCGGGGUCCAGUGAUUAUAUGCAUUGAACUUUCAAUUCCUUUAGAAUGAAGUAGCAGCCAACAAACUUCUUUGCCUUUGGAGGUUUUAUUUGCAAUGUUUUGAAAAGCGUGGUAAUGGCUCACGGUUCUAGAGGAUAGGUUUACAGCUUUGCUAUUUUUUUUUUAUUUUUCCUUGGCUACUGACAUUUAUUUUCUUGGGCGAAGAGAGGAGGCGCUGACUUAGUGGAUAGAAAUGCGGCAGUGGUGACUUUAGCAGCCACACUCACGGUUUUGUUGCAGAGCUUUGAAUUUUUUUAGUGUAUGGAAACUUUCUUUGAUAUAAGGGAUUUUGGUUGAAUGAAAAUGGGUGUGCAUCCGGCUGCCACUUGUCACUUGGCCAUUGCUUUUAAACAAUUUCUUUUUACUUGAGAAAACGAGACUCACGGUGCAGGGGUGGAAUCCAGCAGGCAUUUUUCUUUUUGAUUUGACAAUUUGAUGUUAGUAGUUAAUUGGUGACAAGGAUAAAAUGAAGAGAAGCACGUUGAUUUGUGGACAAGCGGUUCAUUUGCUUCCACAUUCAUGAUUUCAUUUUAAAUGGGUACAACGUCCACACAAGGAAGUAGCUUAGUUAUUUUUAAUGUAUUUUCCUACAUGUUUUCUUCUUUGAGAGUUGUUACCAUGAGGAAUAUGCAUUUAGUAUUUAACUUUUAAUGCCUAAACCGUGCUGAAUAUUUUGGUGCCUUUUUAUUGUUCAUACUUCUUCUAUUUUCAGUAAUUAUUAAACAAUUUCAAUUCAAUUGAGUCAUGCAAGUUUAUUUAAUUUAACUGUGAUGUUAGCUUAGGUUGCUUGGUUAUUUGUCUAUUGCAAUGUUAGGUUUAGCAUUUUAUUUCACUUUAAUGUUUUCUAUCUUAUUCGGUUGUGCUUAAUUUCCAUGGAUUUAGUUUGAGUUUAAUUCUCGUCUCAAACACCUUCAAAAUCCCCCCAAUUUGUGUUAGACCUGAUUCUGAACCGCAGUUCCUAGUCACUUCCUAGUCUAUACUACAUUUCUCAUAUGCAAUCAAAUUUGUAUAGGCCACGACACCCAUCAAUCAUUCACGCUUUCCUGUAAACAAUUCAUAUAAUCAUAAAAAAAACUCUGGAGCUCGAUGCCUCUCACAACAUGCUUUCUCACACAAUAUUCAUACAUACACCC